UUAAAUUUGAAGUGUGUUAAAAGUUAAUUUAGUAUUAUGUAUUAUUAUUUAUUCAAUGAUUUAUAUAAAAUUAGAUAUAUAUAUAGAAUAAUAAUCAAUUGAAUUUUUUAAUAUAAAGUAUUGUGUCAUAUAAUUGUGGUAAUACAUUAUUACUAUUAAAAGUAUUAAUACACGGAAAUAUAUGUAUACUAAUUGUUUUACUUAUAUCUUAAGGGAGUCGUCUACAAAAUUCAUUCUUUCCUUCUCAAAAGUUUUAUGAUAUUGUUAAGUGCAAUAAAUUAGAG